rnacentral:rRNA from 1 species
GUAACAAGGUCUCCGUUGGUGAACCAGCGGAGGGAUCAUUACCGAGUUUACAACUCCCAAACCCCUGUGAACAUACCUUAAUGUUGCCUCGGCGGAUCAGCCCGCGCCCCGUAAAACGGGACGGCCCGCCAGAGGACCCAAACUCUAAUGUUUCUUAUUGUAACUUCUGAGUAAAACAAACAAAUAAAUCAAAACUUUCAACAACGGAUCUCUUGGUUCUGGCAUCGAUGAAGAACGCAGCAAAAUGCGAUAAGUAAUGUGAAUUGCAGAAUUCAGUGAAUCAUCGAAUCUUUGAACGCACAUUGCGCCCGCUGGUAUUCCGGCGGGCAUGCCUGUUCGAGCGUCAUUUCAACCCUCAAGCCCCCGGGUUUGGUGUUGGGGAUCGGCUCUGCCUUCUGGCGGUGCCGCCCCCGAAAUACAUUGGCGGUCUCGCUGCAGCCUCCAUUGCGUAGUAGCUAACACCUCGCAACUGGAACGCGGCGCGGCCAUGCCGUAAAACCCCAACUUCUGAAUGUUGACCUCGGAUUCAGGUAGGA